GUAGCUGAGUGGUUGGGCAUCUGCUUUGCAUGCCAGAAGGUCCCUGGUUCAAUUCCUGGCAUCUCCA